rnacentral:pre_miRNA from 1 species
AUAUAAUCACAUGGGAAUCUUAAUGCAGAUUCUGAUUCGGUAGGUCUGGGCUGGGCCUGAGAAUCUGCAGUUAUAGUAAUCUCCCAGUUGAUUAAUGC